rnacentral:rRNA from 1 species
GUGGGGAAUAUUGCACAAUGGGGGAAACCCUGAUGCAGCGACGCCGCGUGAGUGAAGAAGUAUUUCGGUAUGUAAAGCUCUAUCAGCAGGGAAGAAAUAGCGACCUUUGGGUCGCCAGACGGUACCUGAUUAAGAAGCCCCGGCUAACUACGUGCCAGCAGCCGCGGUAAUACGUAGGGGGCAAGCGUUAUCCGGAUUUACUGGGUGUAAAGGGAGCGUAGACGGCAGCGCAAGUCUGAAGUGAAAUGCCGGGGCUUAACCCCGGAACUGCUUUGGAAACUGUGCAGCUAGAGUGCAGGAGAGGUAAGUGGAAUUCCUAGUGUAGCGGUGAAAUGCGUAGAUAUUAGGAGGAACACCAGUGGCGAAGGCGGCUUACUGGACUGUAACUGACGUUGAGGCUCGAAAGCGUGGGGAGCAAACAGG